rnacentral:lncRNA from 1 species
UUGAGCUUCUCAAAUAGGAUGGAAAGAAGGCGAGGGAACCCAAAACAGGUUUCGUCGGCUCUCAUACGGGCUGUGGUCCGCAUGUAGCUGAUAAUAAUACUGGCAAGAGGGAUACCAGUGAGCUGCUGACCCACACCAUGCAUCAUCUUGUCCAAGAAAUAAAGAUCGCUAUUUCGGAGCUCUAUUUUUCCCCUCCUCUUUGGCAUCACAUUAAAGGCAAAAAGAUAGAAUAUCAAGUGGUACCUAGGAUCGAA